GCCAAGGAUGUUUUCAUUGAUCUGGAGCGAAAGUCAGAGGUUCGAAGACGAUCAGAUACCGUCCUAGUUCUGACCAUAAACGAUGCCAACUGACGAUCCGUGGGUAAUCUAUUAAUGAUCCUGCGGGCAGUCCCCGGGAAACCUUUAAGUCUUUGGGCUCCGGGGGAAGUAUGGUUGCAAAGCUGAAACUUAAAGGAAUUGACGGAAGGGCACCACCAGGAGUGGAGCCUGCGGCUUAAUUCGACUCAACACGGGAAAACUCACCCGGCCCGGACACUGUGAGGAUUGACAGAUUGAUAGCUCUUUCUUGAUUCGGUGGUUGGUGGUGCAUGGCCGUUCUUAGUUGGUGGAGCGAUUUGUCUGGUUAAUUCCGAUAACGAACGAGACUUUGGCCUGCUAAAUAGUACACUUGUCCUCUGUGCUCGUGCAAGUGGCGAUUUUCACUACCCGUUAUCGGGGUGUGAUGUUGUUAACGGGCGAGUACUGCGCAAGUGUCUACUUCUUAGAGGGACAAGCGGCUAAAAAGUCGCACGAAAAUGAGCAAUAACAGGUCUGUGAUGCCCUUAGAUGUCCGGGGCCGCACGUGCGCUACAAUGACGGUUUCAGCGAGUUUUGAAUCCUGCCCUGAAAUGGUUGGGCAAACUAAAGCAUUACCGUCGUGACUGGGAUCGGGGCUUGCAAUUAUUCCCCGUGAACGAGGAAUUCCUGGUAAGUGCAAGUCAUAAGCUUGCGCUGAUUACGUCCCUGCCCUUUGUACACACCGCCCGUCGCUACUAUCGAUUGAACGGUUUAGCAAGGUCAUUGGAUUGAUCCUAUUGUAGUUGCUUCGGUAACUCGACCGGGGUUGAGAAAUGACCGAACUUGAUCCUUUAGAGAAAGUAAAAGUCGUAACAAGGUUUCCGUAG
rnacentral:rRNA from 1 species